rnacentral:rRNA from 1 species
AUUGAACGCUGGCGGCAGGCCUAACACAUGCAAGUCGAACGGUAGCACAGAGAGCUUGCUCUCGGGUGACGAGUGGCGGACGGGUGAGUAAUGUCUGGGAAACUGCCCGAUGGAGGGGGAUAACUACUGGAAACGGUAGCUAAUACCGCAUAACGUCGCAAGACCAAAGUGGGGGACCUUCGGGCCUCACACCAUCGGAUGUGCCCAGAUGGGAUUAGCUUGUAGGUGGGGUAAUGGCUCACCUAGGCGACGAUCCCUAGCUGGUCUGAGAGGAUGAACAGCCACACUGGAACUGAGACACGGUCCAGACUCCUACGGGAGGCAGCAGUGGGGAAUAUUGCACAAUGGGCGCAAGCCUGAUGCAGCCAUGCCGCGUGUAUGAAGAAGGCCUUCGGGUUGUAAAGUACUUUCAGCGGGGAGGAAGGCGGUGAAGUUAAUAGCUUCACCGAUUGACGUUACCCGCAGAAGAAGCACCGGCUAACUCCGUGCCAGCCGCCGCAGUAA